rnacentral:rRNA from 1 species
AACGAACGCUGGCGGCAUGCCUAACACAUGCAAGUCGAACGAGACCUUCGGGUCUAGUGGCGCACGGGUGCGUAACGCGUGGGAACCUGCCCUUAGGUUCGGAAUAACUCCCCGAAAGGGGUGCUAAUACCGGAUAAUGUCUUCGGACCAAAGAUUUAUCGCCUUUGGAUGGGCCCGCGUUGGAUUAGCUAGUUGGUAGGGUAAAAGCCUACCAAGGCGACGAUCCAUAGCUGGUCUGAGAGGAUGAUCAGCCACACUGGGACUGAGACACGGCCCAGAAUCCUACGGGAGGCAGCAGUGGGGAAUAUUGGACAAUGGGCGAAAGCCUGAUCCAGCAAUGACGCGUGAGUGAUGAAGGCAGUAGGGUUGUAAAGCUCUUUUACCCGGGAUGAUAAUGACAGUACCGGGAGAAUAAGCUCCGGCUAACUCCGUG